AGUUUGCUCAGAAAUUAACCAUGGGUUUUUUAUGCUGGGUAAGAUACAGUAAGCACACUUUAUUUUUUGUCACUGAAUGCAGCUAUUAAUCCUGGAGAUAAUGCACUGAGCAGCUACCUGAGAACUAGGAAGAGUAUACAGCAGAGCAAUUGGAGAUCAGAAUUUGAAGUACAACCAAACUGGCAGUGAGUUUACCUUUUUAUUUCUUCUAGUAACCACGGGCCUAGACUCAACUCAUCCUGAAAUUUGGAAGUGGGCAUCAGCAUGGAUAGCAGCAGCAGCUUGACAAAGAAACACUCAAAAUUAGGGGUAUCCUGUCAGCAGGAGUGUCACGGCAGGAGAUCCACAAUUCUGCAACUCUGAGAGGCAUUAGGGCACCAUGGUGAAAAAUCCUGGAACCCUCACCAAAUAUAACAGGCCAGCUAUGCUCUGCAGCUGGAGCAAAUUAUAUCAGAGAAGUGCUGAUGUGACCACAAGUUGACAAAAGGACAUGAUUUCUAGUAGCAAAAAAGCAACUAGAUUUUAUGAAAUUGUAUCUAAUAAUGUUGUUUAACUCAUGGAUCCUGCAUCUGACGCCUGCUUUUUAUCCAGUCCUUUCAGCGGCCCUUUGUUAACAGUCACUCAGAAGAGGAAAUAAAAUGUAGCCAUUGAAAUAAAAAUUGCUCUAC
rnacentral:lncRNA from 1 species